CCAGUUGGCCGGGCAGCCGCGCUUUACCAAUGCCGAAAGGCGGUAGGGUGAGGAAAGUCCGGGCUCCACGGAAUCACGGUGCCGGAUAACGUCCGGCGGGGGCGACCCCAGGGAAAGUGCCACAGAAAGGAAACCGCCCCGCUUGCUGUACCGCUCUUGUUGAGAAGCGGCAGAGCUAGCGGGGUAAGGGUGAAAGGGUGGGGUAAGAGCCCACCGCGCUUCUGGUAACAGCGGCGGCAAGGUAAACCCCACCGGGAGCAAGACCGAAUAGGGAUGACGUGGGUCCAGGCCUCGGCCUGGGCUACAGCCGGUUUCCGGGCCAGUCAUCCGGGUGGGUUGCGUGAGGCGGCAUGCAAAUGUCGUCCCAGAUGAAUGGCUGCCACGUUUCGGUGUUCGCGCCGAGGCCAUACAGAACCCGGCUUACAGGCCAACUGGCGUU
rnacentral:RNase_P_RNA from 1 species